AAUACUCCUAAAAAAAAACGCAGGAUACAGAGAGAGGAAACUGUGUUCAUAAGCCGUCAAUCGCCAGACUAGAGCACCACAACUGCAAGCACAUGCAUAGAGAAAGAAAAAUUUAUGGGCAUCAACACCGUUAGGCUAUCUAUCGGCCACCAUCAGAUCGUCGAACUGCCUCCAGUAUUUUUUGAAUUCAAAGGCAAAGGAAAUGAAGACCUAGACAAUUCAUUGCAGAAUAGCUACAGGCUCCUCUAGCUUAUGAUUACUUAUGUGCACAAAGGUUUUGAAGUGCUGUGGAAGGAACAUUUUCUUCGAUUAUUGCUUUUUGUUGUAGAAACAUUUAUGAUAUUACCUUUUGAUAUGGUCUUCUAGGGUAAAUAUGAAGGAAAAUGUUACAUCUUUGUGGCAUUCUAACUAAUAUUAUUGUUUUGUAUUUUCUGCCAAAUCAGCUUAUAGAUAAAUAUUGACAAAUGGCAGGUGGUAGUUAUACAGUUGUCACAAAUCACAAGAAAUGUUGGUUGGAGUUAAAAAUGUGUCUUUCUUUCAACAUAUAUGUAUAUUCGAAGGCUAACACACUCUAUCAAGUCUAUGAAAUUCUAUAUGUAUUAUUUUUGUGAUCAUUUAAAUUUAUGAAAUUCUAUGUCUGGUA